UACGAAGGGGGCUAGCGUUGCUCGGAAUUACUGGGCGUAAAGCGCACGUAGGCGGACUCUUAAGUCGGUGGUGAAAUCCUGGAGCUCAACUCCAGAACUGCCUUCGAUACUGAGAGUCUCGAGUUCGGGAGAGGUGAGUGGAACUGCGAGUGUAGAGGUGAAAUUCGUAGAUAUUCGCAAGAACACCAGUGGCGAAGGCGGCUCACUGGCCCGGUACUGACGCUGAGGUGCGAAAGCGUGGGGAGCAAACAGG
rnacentral:rRNA from 1 species